UGGGGAAUAUUGGACAAUGGGCGCAAGCCUGAUCCAGCAAUGCCGCGUGUGUGAAGAAGGCCUUCGGGUUGUAAAGCACUUUUAUCAGGAGCGAAACGCUGUCGGCUAAUACCCGGCGGAACUGACGGUACCUGAGGAAUAAGCACCGGCUAACUUCGUGCCAGCAGCCGCGGUAAUACGAAGGGUGCAAGCGUUAAUCGGAAUUACUGGGCGUAAAGCGUGCGUAGGCGGUGACUUAAGUCUGCUGUGAAAUCCCCGGGCUCAACCUGGGAAUGGCAGUGGAUACUGGGUCGCUAGAGUGUGAUAGAGNAUGGUGGAAUUCCCGGUGUAGCGGUGAAAUGCGUAGAGAUCGGGAGGAACAUCAGUGGCGAAGGCGGCCAUCUGGAUCAACACUGACGCUCAUGCACGAAAGCGUGGGGAGCAAACA
rnacentral:rRNA from 1 species